rnacentral:rRNA from 1 species
AGAGUUUGAUCAUGGCUCAGGACGAACGCUGGCGGCGUGCCUAAUACACUGCAAGUAGAACGCUGAAGACUGGUGCUUGCACUAGUCAGAUGAGUUGCGAACGGGUGAGUAACGCGUAGGUAACCUACCUCAUAGCGGGGGAUAACUAUUGGACAACGAUAGCUAAUACCGCAUGACAAUUAAGUACUCAUGUACUAAAUUUAAAAGGAGCAAUUGCUUCACUAUGAGAUGGACCUGCGUUGUAUUAGCUAGUUGGUGAGGUAACGGCUCACCAAGGCCACGAUACAUAGCCGACCUGGGAGGGUGAUCGGCCACACUGGGACUGAGACACGGCCCAGACUCCUACGGGAGGCAGCAGUAGGGAAUCUUCGGCAAUGGGGGCAACCCUGACCGAGCAACGCCGCGUGAGUGAAGAAGGUUUUCGGAUCGUAAAGCUCUGUUGUUAGAGAAGAACGGUAAUGGGAGUGGAAAAUCCAUUACGUGACGGUAACUAACCAGAAAGGGACGGCUAACUACGUGCCAGCAGCCGCGGUAAUACGUAGGUCUCGAGCGUUGUCCGGAUUUAUUGGGCGUAAAGCGAGCGCAGGCGGUUAUUUAAGUCUGAAGUUAAAGGCCGUGGCUCAACCAUGGUUCGCUUUGGAGACUGGAUAACUUGAGUGCAGAAGGGGAGAGUGGAAUUCCAUGUGUAGCGGUGAAAUGCGUAGAUAUAUGGAGGAACACCGGUGGCGAAAGCGGCUCUCUGGUCUGUAACUGACGCUGAGGCUCGAAAGCGUGGGGAGCAAACAGGAUUAGAUACCCUGGUAGUCCACGCCGUAAACGAUGAGUGCUAGGUGUUAGGCCCUUUCCGGGGCUUAGUGCCGCAGCU